ensembl:snRNA U4 U4 spliceosomal RNA
AGCUUUGCGCAGUGGCAGUAUCAUAGCCAAUGAGGUUUAUCCGAGGCGCGAUUAUUGCUAAUUGAAAAGAAUGGUUUUCCUGCAUAUGUUUCAUAGAAAGCCAUCCUGGCUGUAUAGUUUUAUG